rnacentral:lncRNA from 1 species
GGAUCUCUUGCACAGGAUUGCUUGCUUCUGGAGAGGCCAGCAUGGGUCCCAGAAAUAAGAAUGGGGAAGGACUAGGUGCCCUGGGGAGAGCCAUACUUGGACCCUGUGUUCUAGGAAACCCAUUGGCUGUAUUCAGUACAAGCUGCCUCUGUAUGAGGGAGAGGACCCUGGUAUGUUCCUCACAUGUGAGUAUCUGGGUUCCAAUUCUUAUUUCAGUAAAGGCCCAGCGGGAGAUGGACUUCUCACAUGGCUGUGUUGUCCACAGGGUGGAGGCAUGUCAUCUACAUCCAUUUCCUGCCUGGGAAGAAGUCUGCCAUUGCCUACUUCAGGGGCAACAUGAACUAUCAGUACUACCAGAUGAUGAUGUUCAUGGGCCGCACCCUGAGACCUAACCCAGAUGCUGAGAGGAUCUUCAAGGAGUGUGUGAUGAGUAUAAUGCUCCAAACUGGAAGGAUAAUUAGCCCUCCCCAUGCUGGUAGGGAAGGAUUUCCUCGUCUCCUCUCUCCUUUCUCCUCACUCAGGCUUGUGCUCUGGAUAUUUCUCUUAUACACAAGAAACCACAUGAACAGCAUCAUGUUUCAUAGCUCAUCUAAGUUUGCUGCUUUUUGUCCCUCUACAGAAGCCUGUGCAUUUGUCCCAGACCCCCAGUGCACUAAGGGAGUGCUGCAGUAUCCAUGCAGAAAGCAGGAGUUGGGACCUGGCUGACCCAGAGGUGCAGACAUCCACAUGCAGAACUCUCAGUGUCAAAGAGCACAGGGCCUAACACCCACUCCUCCCACAAGUCUGCAUCAAUAAAUUCGGUGGAUAUCCCUCA